GGGUUGUGAGGUUAAGCGACUAAGCGUACACGGUGGAUGCCCUGGCAGUCAGAGGCGAUGAAGGACGUGCUAAUCUGCGAAAAGCGUCGGUAAGGUGAUAUGAACCGUUAUAACCGGCGAUGUCCGAAUGGGGAAACCCAGUGCAAUUCGUUGCACUAUCGUUAACUGAAUACAUAGGUUAACGAGGCGAACCGGGGGAAC
rnacentral:rRNA from 1 species